rnacentral:snRNA from 1 species
GCAUAUUCGAGGGCUAUCUGGCUGCUGACAUCUGCUUUCCCACUGAUGGCCUGGGUUAAUUGGGCUGAUCUGGCUACUAGGCAGGUGUCCUCACCUCUCUCACCCCUCCAUAUGUGCAUCCCUCCCCAAAGCACACAGAGACCAGCAAGGAUAUAGGAAUAGCUGUGCUCCCUUGCUAGAAUCUCCAAACAAGCUCUCAAGGUGCAAAGAGUGGGAGGGAAGAGUGAAGGUAGCUGGAUUCUGCACAGCUCAGAGAGGGAGACAGGGGAAGGGCUCUGCCUGAAGCA